rnacentral:lncRNA from 1 species
AGCUUAGUACGUUCCGAUUGCCAUCGAUUGUUGCGGGCAACAUCGGGAGGCGACAUCGCUCGUGGCGACUGAUGGCUUUUGGCAACGGAACGGCGAGGCCUCGUGCAAGUAGCGCCGCAAGGUGCCGUGCGCAUGGGGCUAAGCUAAGUACGUGCCGAUUGCCAUCGGUUGUUGUGAGUUGUGUCUGGCAUCGCUCGUGGCGGCUGAUGGCUUUUGGCAACGGAACGGCGAGGCCUCGUGCAAGUAGCGCCGCAAGGUGCCGUGCGCAUGGGGCUAAGCCCAGUAUGUUCCGAUUGCCAUCAUUGUUGCGGGCAACAUCGGGAGGCGACAUCGCUCGUGGCGGCUGAUGGCUUUUGGCAGCGGAACUGCGAGGCCUCGUGCAAGUAGCGCCGCAAGGUGCCGUGCGCACGGGGCGUAAGCUAAGUACGUGCCGAUUGCCAUCAGUUGUU